CCUACGGGAGGCAGCAGUGGGGAAUAUUGGACAAUGGGCGAAAGCCUGAUCCAGCAAUGCCGCGUGUGUGAAGAAGGCCUGCGGGUUGUAAAGCACUUUCAGUUGGGAAGAUGAUGACGUUACCAACAGAAGAAGCACCGGCUAAAUCCGUGCCAGCAGCCGCGGUAAUACGGAUGGUGCGAGCGUUAAUCGGAAUUACUGGGCGUAAAGCGCGCGUAGGCGGCUAAGUCAGUCAGAAGUGAAAGCCCCGGGCUCAACCUGGGAAUUGCUUUUGAUACUGCUUAGCUAGAGUUUGGUAGAGGAUAGUGGAAUUCCAGGUGUAGCGGUGAAAUGCGUAGAUAUCUGGAGGAACAUCAGGGGCGAAGGCGACUGUCUGGACCAAAACUGACGCUGAGGUGCGAAAGCGUGGGUAGCAAACAGGAUUAGAUACCCUGGUAGUCCACGCCGUAAACGAUGUCAACUAGCCGUCGGACCUAUUUACAGGUUUGGUGGCGCAGCUAACGCGAUAAGUUGACCGCCUGGGGAGUACGGCCGCAAGGUUAAAACUCAAAGGAAUUGACGG
rnacentral:rRNA from 1 species